rnacentral:tRNA from 14 species
GUUAAUGUAGCUUAAACUAAAGCAAGGCACUGAAAAUGCCUAGAUGGGUAUUUAACUCCAUAAACA